rnacentral:lncRNA from 1 species
GAGCGUAAAUUGAAAAAGUGAAUAAAAUUUAAAACCGUGAACACUUUUUGAAAUCACGAACAAAAUUUGGGAUUUCAAAACAUUUUCUUGAAAACAAAGUAUAAAAAUAAAAUAAAAAAAUUAUAAAAUGAAAGAAAAGGAAAAAGGAAAAGAAGUUGAAGCAGGUGCCGUACCUAGAGCCUGUGAGUGCACGCGGGCACCUCGUGAAUCUAUGUUGGAUCCUUGCAAACGCCGUACUCACGAAGGCCUACACCAUCUACAAGUCGAACACCACAAUAAAGAUGUCUGCAUGGCGCCGGAGCCACCUUGGCUACCAACUAGUCAAGAUCGACAUGGUUGACUCGCCGCGCAAUGCCACCUUCAUCGCCGACAAGGACAAGGGGAGGUCGGAUGGAAUGGUGUGGUGAUCGAGGCCGACGCUGCCCUGCGCAUGCCGGCGGAGCAAGCUGAACAGAAAUGCCACGAGCGGCAAGUCACCGUCAAUCAAGUUCGGUUUGAGUAACAAAAAUCAAUAUUCGUUUCAUCCAUCUUGAACUGAGUUUACACAAACAUAGAAGAAACAUGUUGUAUUUAUCAUAAAUAUAUGUACAAGUGCCUUUCAAAGGCCAGAUGAUAAUAAAGAAGUUAAAGCAUCUACAACCGGAC